rnacentral:rRNA from 1 species
UACAGAGGGUGCAAGCGUUGUUCGGAAUUAUUGGGCGUAAAGGGCGCGUAGGCGGUGCGGUAAGUCUGCGGUGAAAUCUCCCGGCUCAACUGGGAGGCUGCCGUGGAAACUGCCGUGCUUGAGUGUGGGAGAGGUGAGUGGAAUUCCCGGUGUAGCGGUGAAAUGCGUAGAUAUUGGGAGGAACACCGGUGCGAAGGCGGCUACCUGGACCGGUUCUGACGCUGAUGCGCGAAAGCGUGG